UACGUAGGGGGCGAGCGUUGUCCGGAUUCAUUGGGCGUAAAGAGCUCGUAGGCGGUUCGGUAAGUCGGGUGUGAAAUCUCCGUGCUCAACACGGAGCGGCCACCUGAUACUGCCGUGACUCGAGUCCGGUAGGGGAGUGUGGAAUUCCCGGUGUAGCGGUGAAAUGCGUAGAUAUCAGGAGGAAUACCGAUGGCGAAGGCAGGUCUCUGGGCUGACACUGACGCUCAUGCACGAAAGCGUGGGGAGCAAACAGG
rnacentral:rRNA from 1 species